rnacentral:ncRNA from 1 species
UUCACGGAGAGUUUGAUCCUGGCUCAGGACGAACGCUGGCGGCGUGCUUAACACAUGCAAGUCGAACGAUGAACCACGUUCGGUGGGAUUAGGUGGCGAACGGGUGAGUAACACGUGGGCAAUCUGCCCUGCACUCGUGGACAA